rnacentral:tRNA from 1 species
GUUUCCGUAGUUCAAUGGAUAGAAUAAACCCCUCCUAAGGGUUAGAUUUGGGUUCGACUCCCAGCGGGAACACCA